rnacentral:lncRNA from 1 species
AGAUGAAGUACGACAAGAUACAACAACGAAACAAGAAAACAUGAUUCAUAUACUGCUUACAAAGUUCAUCAUGUAGUUGUCUAGUGUGUUCAAAAGAGGAUGUGCAAAAAUUAUUGCAAGACUCUUCAUGUUGUGAAGUUUUUUCCCAUAUGAGCUUAAAUUGUGUUCUCUAUUGUUAGUUUAUCUUUUCAUUUUUAGGAGUUCUUAAUAUUAGAGAAAGAUUAAGAAAGUGUAAUCUAGAGAUGUGUGAAUAAUCUGGAGGGG